UAAAAAUGGAAGAAGCACUUGACAGCAUUUUAACUUACUUUUCUUGCUUUUUGGACAUCUUAAGAGUGAUCUAAAGCCCAGCCUUGCAUUGAGACAUCAAAUACAAUGCCAAUAAAGUCCUUUUUGUGAACUGUAACAACAUCAUCUGGGUCAUUUACAUCCAGACAUAGCUUCUGCUUGAGUUUACAGGUCACAGGUGACACUUGGUGUUCUUUGAUUGGCUGUAAAUGACGCAAUAACUUCUAUUUCGGUAUUCUCCUCCCACACAUUUUUAUCAUCAGUCCUCUCACCUGUACAGAUAAACACAAAUCACCUGCAUGAUAACUUCGUGACUAACUUUCUCUCGGGCCUUCUCUUUUGAGUUAGUGGUUCUAGAGAUUGCCUUGGAGAAUGUGGUACUUCAAUCUCCAUUGCGAGGUCUGGUGGAUCAUCUACACCUGGAGUUGAUUGUCGAGAUGAUCCUGUUAGUCGAGGUGCAUCAGGAAGUGGGCAGGUUACAUCUUUACAUUCGUAUCUGCAAAAAGGUCUUAUCUUUUCGUAAAGGUACCAUUUCCUUUCAGUUGACAUACCCUUUGGUGGUAAUAUUUUAGGUAGUUCAUCUUCCAUUAUUUGAGCGUCCUCCUUCAGCAAAUUGAAUUGUGUGACUGGGCCAUCUACAGCUUGUCUGGCUGCAACUACACCAGGUGAGGUCGCAUUUACAACAAAGUGUUGAAAGCCUUUGAUGCCUUUUAUUUUCUUGAAUA
rnacentral:lncRNA from 1 species